rnacentral:rRNA from 1 species
UACGUAGGGAGCAAGCGUUGUCCGGAAUCAUUGGGCGUAAAGAGCGUGUAGGCGGCUACUUAAGUCCUGCGUGAAAUCCUGCGGCUCAACCGCAGGCGGUCGUGGGAAACUGGGUGGCUAGAGUGCGGGAGAGGAGAGUGGAAUUCCUGGUGUAGCGGUGGGAAUGCGCAGAUAUCAGGAGGAACACCGGUGGCGAAGGCGGUUCUCUGGGCCGAUACUGACGCUGAGGAGCGAAAGCGUGGGGAGCAAACAGG